rnacentral:rRNA from 1 species
GACGAACGCUGGCGGCGUGCUUAACACAUGCAAGUCGAGCGGAAAGGCCCUUUCGGGGGUACUCGAGCGGCGAACGGGUGAGUAACACGUGAGUAAUCUGCCCUUGGCUUUGGGAUAACCACCGGAAACGGUGGCUAAUACCGGAUAUGACGGGCUCCGGCAAUCGGGGUUCGUGGAAAGUUUUUUCGGCCAGGGAUGUGCUCGCGGCCUAUCAGCUUGUUGGUGGGGUAAUGGCCUACCAAGGCUUCGACGGGUAGCCGGCCUGAGAGGGUGACCGGCCACACUGGGACUGAGACACGGCCCAGACUCCUACGGGAGGCAGCAGUGGGGAAUAUUGGACAAUGGGCGGAAGCCUGAUCCAGCAACGCCGCGUGAGGGAUGACGGCUU